GGUUAAUUGAAGAUGUGCAAGCAUCGGAUCGAAGCCCCAGUAAACGGCGGCCGUAACAAUAACGGUCCUAAGGUAGCGAAAUUCCUUGUCGGGUAAGUUCCGACCCGCACGAAUGGCGUAACGAUGGCCACACUGUCUCCUCCCGAGACUCAGCGAAGUUGAAAUGUUUGUGAUGAUGCAAUCUCCCCGCAGCUAGACGGAAAGACCCCAUGAACCUUUACUGUAGCUUUACAUUGGAC
rnacentral:rRNA from 1 species